rnacentral:rRNA from 1 species
ACGUAGGGUGCAAGCGUUGUUCGGAAUUACUGGGCGUAAAGCGUACGUAGGCGGUAGAUUAAGUCGAAUGUUAAAGCCUGAGGCUCAACCUCAGAGAUGCAUUCGAUACUGGUUUACUAGAGGGUGAUAGAGGAAAGCGGAAUUCCGAGUGUAGCGGUGAAAUGCGUAGAUAUUCGGAGGAACAUCAGUAGCGAAGGCGGCUUUCUGGGUCACACCUGACGCUGAGGUACGAAAGCGUGGGGAGCAAACGGGAUUAGAUACCCCGGUAGUCCACGCUGUAAACGAUGGGUGCUAGGUGUAGCGGGUAUCGACCCCUGCUGUGCCGUAGCUAACGCGUUAAGCACCCCGCCUGGGGAGUACGCACGCAAGUGUG